rnacentral:rRNA from 1 species
AACGAACGCUGGCGGCAUGCCUAACACAUGCAAGUCGAACGAGAUCUUCGGGUCUAGUGGCGCACGGGUGCGUAACGCGUGGGAAUCUGCCCUUUGGUUCGGAAUAACAGUUGGAAACGACUGCUAAUACUGGAUGAUGACGAAAGUCCAAAGAUUUAUCGCCAGAGGAUGAGCCCGCGUAGGAUUAGCUAGUUGGCUUGGUAAAGGCGCACCAAGGCGACGAUCCUUAGCCGGUCUGAGAGGAUGAUCAGCCACACUGGGACUGAGACACGGCCCAGACUCCUACGGGAGGCAGCAGUGGGGAAUAUUGGACAAUGGGCGAAAGCCUGAUCCAGCAAUGCCGCGUGAGUGAUGAAGGCCUUAGGGUUGUAAAGCUCUUUUACCCGGGAUGAUAAUGACAGUACCGGGAGAAUAAGCUCCGGCUAACUCCGUGCCAGCCGCCGCCGUGA